GUGUCAGCCGCCGCGGUAAGACGAACCGUCCAAACGUUAUUCGGAAUCACUGGGCUUACAGAGUUCGUAGGCGGUCCCAAAAGUUAGGUGUGAAAUCCCUCGGCUCAACCGAGGAACUGCGCUUAAAACUGUGGGACUCGAGGGAGAUAGAGGAAAGCGGAACUGAUGGUGGAGCGGUGAAAUGCGUUGAUAUCAUCAGGAACACCGGUGGCGAAGGCGGCUUUCUGGGUCUUACCUGACGCUGAGGAACGAAAGCUAGGGGAGCGAACGGGAUUAGAUACCCCCGUAGUCC
rnacentral:rRNA from 1 species